rnacentral:siRNA from 1 species
UCUGAUUGAUACAUCUGGAUGUAC